rnacentral:tRNA from 1 species
UCCUCGUUAGUAUAGUGGUCAGUAUCCCGGCCUGUCAACGACGGGAGGACCGGGGUGUUCAAUUCCCCCGACGGGGAGA